UGUUGUCAAAGAUAUUUCCUUUACUGAGCUUAAAUUCACCCCAUUUUUGCCUUUGUGUUUGAAUGUGUGUGUAAAUGUGUGUGUGUGUGUGUGUGUGUGUGUGUGUGU